UGCAGUCGAACGGAAACCUUCGGGUUUUAGUGGCGAACGGGUGAGUAACACGUAAGCAACCUACCCUAAAGACGAGGAUAACCAUUGGAAACAGUGGCUAAGACUGGAUAGGAAGAUAAAAGGCAUCUUGUAUCUUUUAAAAGACCUAGUUAAUAGGUAUGCUUUAGGAGGGGCUUGCGCCAUAUUAGUUAGUUGGUAGGGUAAUGGCCUACCAAGACGAUGAUGUGUAGCUGGACUGAGAGGUUGAACAGCCACAUUGGGACUGAGACACGGCCCAAACUCCUACGGGAGGCAGCAGUAGGGAAUUUUCGGCAAUGGAGGAAACUCUGACCGAGCAACGCCGCGUGAAUGACGAAGUACUUCGGUAUGUAAAGUUCUUUUAUCGAGGAAGAAAAGCAAAUGGCGAACCAUUUGUUUGCCGGUACUUGAUGAAUAAGCCCCGGCUAAUUAUGUGCCAGCAGCCGCGGUAAGACAUAAGGGGCAAGUGUUAUCCGGAAUUAUUGGGCGUAAAGGGUGCGUAGGCGGUCUAGUAAGUCAGUGGUGUAAUGGCAACGCUUAACGUUGUCCGGCUAUUGAAACUGCUAAACUUGAGUUAGAUAGAGGCGAGUGGAAUUCCAUGUGUAGCGGUAAAAUGCGUAAAUAUAUGGAGGAACACCAGAGGCGUAGGCGGCUCGCUGGGUCUUAACUGACGCUGAGGCACGAAAGCGUGGGGAGCAAACAGGAUUAGAUACCCUGGUAGUCCACGCCGUAAACGAUGAGUACUAAGUGUCGGGUUAAACCGGUACUGAAGUUAACACAUUAAGUACUCCGCCUGAGUAGUACGUACGCAAGUAUGAAACUUAAAGGAAUUGACGGGACUCCGCACAAGCGGUGGAUCAUGUUGUUUAAUUCGAAGAUCCCGAAAACCUUACCAGGUCUUGACAUGUUUUUGCAAAAUGAUAGUAAUAUCGUGGAGGUUACCAGAAACACAGGUGGUGCAUGGUUGUCGUCAGCUCGUGUCGUGAGAUGUUAGGUUAAGUCCUAAAACGAGCGAAACCCUUAUCGUUAGUUGCCAGCACGUUAUGGUGGGGACUUUAACGAGACUGCCAAUGAUAAAUUGGAGGAAGGUGAGGAUCACGUCAAAUCAGCAUGCCCCUUAUGACCUGGGCUACAAACGUGAUACAAUGGCUGUUACAAAGGGUAGCUGAAACGCAAGUUCUUGGCCAAUCCCCAAAAACAGUCCCAGUCCGGAUUGAAGUCUGCAACUCGACUUCAUGAAGUUGGAAUCGCUAGUAAUCGCGAAUCAGCAUGUCGCGGUGAAUACGUUCUCGGGGUUUGUACACACCGCCCGUCAAACCACGAAAGUUGGCAAUACCCCAAAACGGUAGCCUAACUCGUUUAUUCGAGAGGGCGCCGUCUAAGGUAGGGUCGAUGAUUGGGGUUAAGUCGUAACAAGGUAUCCCUACCGGAAGGUGGGGAUGGAUCACCUCCUUUCUAAGGAAACCAAUAAAAUCAAUCAUCUUCAGUUUUGAAAGACUUAGGCAACUAAGUUUUUCUUCGUGACUUCACGAAGGGCCUAUAGCUCAGUUGGUUAGAGCACACGCCUGAUAAGCGUGAGGUCGGUGGUUCAAGUCCAUUUAGGCCCACCAGAGUUAUAGGUUUCGUAAGAACACAAAUUCUUUGAAAAUUAGGUAAAUAAUAGUUAUUUAUCCGGAACAUUAAAGGAAAUAAGAGC
rnacentral:rRNA from 1 species